rnacentral:rRNA from 1 species
CGCUGGCGGCGUGCUUAACACAUGCAAGUCGAACGGUAAGGCCCUUCGGGGUACACGAGUGGCGAACGGGUGAGUAACACGUGGGUAAUCUGCCCUGCACUUCGGGAUAAGCCUGGGAAACUGGGUCUAAUACCGGAUAUUAAGUUCGUCCGCCAUGUNNNGGGUUGGAAAGUUUUUCGGUGCAGGAUGAGCCCGCGGCCUAUCAGCUUGUUGGUGGGGUAAUGGCCUACCAAGGCGACGACGGGUAGCCGGCCUGAGAGGGUGAUCGGCCACACUGGGACUGAGACACGGCCCAGACUCCUACGGGAGGCAGCAGUGGGGAAUAUUGCACAAUGGGCGAAAGCCUGAUGCAGCGACGCCGCGUGGGGGAUGACGGUCUUCGGAUUGUAAACCCCUUUCAGUAGGGACGAAGCGCAAGUGACGGUACCUGCAGAAGAAGCACCGGCCAACUACGUGCCAGCAGCCGCGGUAAUACGUAGGGUGCGAGCGUUGUCCGGAAUUACUGGGCGUAAAGAGCUCGUAGGCGGUUUGUCGCGUCGUCCGUGAAAACUCGGAGCUUAACUCCGAGCUUGCGGGCGAUACGGGCAGACUUGAGUACUACAGGGGAGACUGGAAUUCCUGGUGUAGCGGUGAAAUGCGCAGAUAUCAGGAGGAACACCGGUGGCGAAGGCGGGUCUCUGGGUAGUAACUGACGCUGAGGAGCGAAAGCAUGGGUAGCGAACAGGAUUAGAUACCCUGGUAGUCCAUGCCGUAAACGGUGGGCGCUAGGUGUGGGGUCCUUCCACGGAUUCCGUGCCGUAGCUAACGCAUUAAGCGCCCCGC